GUUUGAUGGACGCACACUUUAGCGACCAUGCUUAUGUCAAAGAGAAGAUCUUUGUGGAAGGAAGAAAUCUACUGACAUAAAGUGGAAACCCUGUGCUCUAGCUGCAGGAAAAUCUUCCUUGUGUCCGUUUCGCCUAAUGAAGUUGUACAUCUAUGACAUUAUAUAUCCGUUGUUAUCAUGUUUCACUUCAUUGGCCAUUGUGCUAACAUUUACUUAAGUUUUAUGCAUUGGUUCGAAGGAGUUCCAAAUUCUGCUUCUUUUGAUUAAAUUUACUAUUAGAUAUUGUAAUCUCUUUCUUUUCAAAAAAACAUUUGUAGCUUCGAUCAGUUGUGUUGAAAUACUAAAUUUAUCCAAUAGUAGUUACUGUUAUUGGUUUUGUUUUUGUCUUGGUUUAUUGUUUCAUCAUGUUGAAAUUUAGC